rnacentral:rRNA from 1 species
AACUAACAAGGAUUCCCCUAGUAACUGCGAGUGAAGCGGGAAAAGCUCAAAUUUUAAAUCUGGCAGUCUUUGGCUGUCCGAGUUGUAAUCUAGAGAAGUAUUAUCCGCGCUGGACCGUGUACAAGUCUCCUGGAAUGGAGCGUCAUAGAGGGUGAGAAUCCCGUCUUUGACACGGACUGCCAGGGCUUUGUGAUGUGCUCUCAAAGAGUCGAGUUGUUUGGGAAUGCAGCUCAAAAUGGGUGGUAAAUUCCAUCUAAAGCUAAAUAUUGGCGAGAGACCGAUAGCGAACAAGUACCGUGAGGGAAAGAUGAAAAGAACUUUGGAAAGAGAGUUAAACAGUACGUGAAAUUGCUGAAAGGGAAACGCUUGAAGUCAGUCGCGUUGGCCAGUGAUCAACCUUGCUUUUUUUGCUUGGCUUACUUUCUGGUCAAUGGGUCAGCAUCAAUUUUGACUGGUGGAAAAAGUUCAAGGGAAUGUGGCAUCUUUGGAUGUGUUAUAGCUCUUGUUCGCAUACAUUGGUUGGGAUUGAGGAACUCAGCACGCCGAAAGGCCGGGUUUCUUUUGAAACCACGUACGUGCUUAGGAUGUUGGCAUAAUGGCUUUAAUCGACCCGUCUUGAAACACGGACCAAGGAGUCUAACAUGCAUGCGAGUGUUUGGGUGGAAAACCCAAGCGCAUAAUGAAAGUGAAAGUUGAGAUCCCUUUCAAUGGGGAGCAUCGACGCCCGGAUCUGACCUUUUGUGACGAUUCUGCGGUAGAGCAUGUAUGUUGGGACCCGAAAGAUGGUGAACUAUGCCUGAAUAGGGUGAAGCCAGAGGAAACUCUGGUGGAGGCUCGUAGCGAUUCUGACGUGCAAAUCGAUCGUCAAAUUUGGGUAUAGGGGCGAAAGACUAAUCGAACCAUCUAGUAGCUGGUC